UACGUAGGGUGCAAGCGUUGUCCGGAAUUAUUGGGCGUAAAGAGCUCGUAGGCGGUCUGUCGCGUCUGCUGUGAAAACUCGGGGCUUAACCCCGGGCCUGCAGUGGGUACGGGCAGACUAGAGUGCGGUAGGGGAGACUGGAAUUCCUGGUGUAGCGGUGAAAUGCGCAGAUAUCAGGAGGAACACCGGUGGCGAAGGCGGGUCGCUGGGACGGUAUUGACGCUAAGGCGCGAAAGCGUGGGGAGCAAACAGG
rnacentral:rRNA from 1 species